GUGUUCACUUCAGCAGCACUUACACUAAAAUUGGAGUGAUACGGGGAAGAGAGGCAUGGCCCCUGCGCGAGGAUGAAACACAAAUUCACGAAGCAUUCCAUAUUUAC
ensembl:snRNA U6 U6 spliceosomal RNA